ACGCGAUCGAAGAGUUUGAUCCUGGCUCAGGACGAACGCUGGCGGCGUGCUUAACACAUGCAAGUCGAACGAUGAAGCCUUCGGGUGGAUUAGUGGCGAACGGGUGAGUAACACGUGGGCAAUCUGCCCUUCACUCUGGGACAAGCCCUGGAAACGGGGUCUAAUACCGGAUAACACUUACCUCCUCCUGGGGGUUGGUUAAAAGCUCCGGCGGUGAAGGAUGAGCCCGCGGCCUAUCAGCUUGUUGGUGGGGUAAUGGCCUACCAAGGCGACGACGGGUAGCCGGCCUGAGAGGGCGACCGGCCACACUGGGACUGAGACACGGCCCAGACUCCUACGGGAGGCAGCAGUGGGGAAUAUUGCACAAUGGGCGAAAGCCUGAUGCAGCGACGCCGCGUGAGGGAUGACGGCCUUCGGGUUGUAAACCUCUUUCAGCAGGGAAGAAGCGCAAGUGACGGUACCUGCAGAAGAAGCACCGGCUAACUACGUGCCAGCAGCCGCGGUAAU
rnacentral:rRNA from 1 species